rnacentral:misc_RNA from 1 species
CAUUCCUAAGUAUGAAAUGCACACCGAGCACAUAUAUCAAGUAAUUCACCUAAUUCUCGUAUAAGAAGAUGAUUUAGAGUUACACACGCGCCCAGAAUAGUAUUUUCACACAUAACUAUAGAAGCUAAUCUUCUACACAAUUCUUUUAAUCCAAAACACACUAGCAAGCUCAACUCAAGCUGGAUUUUUGCUUAAAUCCAAGUGCAAGGGCCAACGAGAUCAGCUCAAAGUCGUACUUUACUCUAACUUUCCAUAUCCAUAAGGAUCGGGUUCUAACGAGACUAGACCAAUAAAAAUUAAUUAAAGAAAAAAAAAAGACUUUUUAGGUUCAUGCAAAAAAUUUGACAGAGUUUUUUCUAUAUCUAGGAUCUAACCUCUCUGCAAGAAAGCACAAUAUAUAUCUCAAUGAUCCAAAGGCCUUAGACUCAUAACACAACACAAUAUAAUGCCUAUUUGGAGCUUGCCAAAAUCAAUUAACAAGUGUUAUUGUUCAACUCUAACUCAAGGG